GACGAACGCUGGCGGCGUGCUUAACACAUGCAAGUCGAACGGAAAGGCCCUGCUUGCAGGGUACUCGAGUGGCGAACGGGUGAGUAACACGUGGGCGAUCUGCCCUGCACUUCGGGAUAAGCCUGGGAAACUGGGUCUAAUACCGGAUAGGAGCCAUUUUUAGUGUGAUGGUUGGAAAGUUUUUUCGGUGUAGGAUGAGCUCGCGGCCUAUCAGCUUGUUGGUGGGGUAAUGGCCUACCAAGGCGGCGACGGGUAGCCGGCCUGAGAGGGGGGACGGCCACAUUGGGACUGAGAUACGGCCCAGACUCCUACGGGAGGCAGCAGUGGGGAAUAUUGCACAAUGGGCGCAAGCCUGAUGCAGCGACGCCGCGUGGGGGAUGACGGCCUUCGGGUUGUAAACUCCUUUCGAGAGGGACGAAGCUUUGUGUGACGGUACCUAGAUAAGAAGCACCGGCUAACUACGUG
rnacentral:rRNA from 1 species